GUUUCUCUGGAGUCAAAUUUAAAUUAUGAGGAUCAUUUCAAUAAUUUCGUUUCACUAUUAUUCAAAUUCAAAUCAAGUCACAAGGGAAGAGGUACUGCAUAAUAUUCCGGCCUACGGUUCGAAUCCCGCUCAGUGCAAAUCUAUUUUUUGCGGCCUGUGAAUCUUUCGGAAACGUACGUUUUAUCGCCGCCCAGAUGAAGAUGUCAGAAUUUGCUAUAUAACUUGUACCAUUACUAUCGAAACAUAAAGUAAAUCGAAGGAUUGUCCAUUCACACAUCAAUCUCCCACUUUCCUGGUAGAUAAGAUUCAAAAUGCUCGCCCGAUAAAGUCGCAUGAAGUGUCAGCUUAUCACCGCUUUUUCUUUUCCGCCUUGUGAGAAUUCAAUUUUUAAACCAUUAAAAUUAACAAAGGAGCGUGUCUGAAAUUUGCUGGUUUUGCUUCGUUUUCUGUAAAACAACCGAAGGGCACAACACGAGGCAACUCAAAAUCAAACCCUAGGAUGCAACAGUA